GAUGAAGAACGUAGUGAAAUGCGAUAAGUAAUGUGAAUUGCAGAAUUCAGUGAAUCAUCGAAUCUUUGAACGCACAUUGCGCCCGCCAGUAUUCUGGCGGGCAUGCCUGUUCGAGCGUCAUUUCAACCAUCAAGCCCCCGGCUUGUGUUGGGGACCUGCGGCUGCCGCAGGCCCUGAAAAGCAGUGGCGGGCUCGCUGUCACACCGAGCGCAGUAGCAUACAUCUCGCUCUGGGCGUGCUGCGGGUUCCGGCCGUUAAACCACCUUCAUAACCCAAGGUUGACCUCGGAUCAGGUAGGAAGACCCGCUGAACUUAAGCAUAUCAAUAAGCGGAGGA
rnacentral:misc_RNA from 1 species